AUUGAUUGGAGAUCCGAAGUAUCAACAGAAGUUCAUACCCUACACACUGAAGCUACAACUCUUUUUGCCCAACUGGUAUUAUACCAAGUUUGUAUUUAUAUCUAUCUAUGAAAUUUGUUGGAUUGGUUGCUUGAUAUUCAUGAAUUUGAUGUAAAUGUCUAGUUCUUGUUACUUGUUGAAUGAGUGAAUUUUUAAUCCUCU
rnacentral:lncRNA from 1 species